CUACGGGCCGCUGCAGUGAGGAAUUUUGCGCAAUGGGGGUAACCCUGACGCAGCAACGCCGCGUGAGUGAUGAAGGCUUUCGGGUCGUAAAGCUCUGUCAAGUGGGAAGAAUAUACGAAAUGCUAAUACCAUUUUGUACUGACGGUACCACUGAAGGAAGCACCGGCUAACUCCGUGCCAGCAGCCGCGGUAAUACGGGGGGUGCAAGCGUUAUUCGGAAUUAUUGGGCGUAAAGAGCACGUAGGCGGCCGCUUAAGUCAGAUGUGAAAGCCCGGGGCUCAACCCCGGAAGUGCAUUUGAAACUAAGUGGCUUGAGUAUGGGAGAGGGAAGUGGAAUUCCUGGUGUAGAGGUGAAAUUCGUAGAUAUCAGGAGGAACACCGGUGGCGAAGGCGACUUCCUGGACCAAUACUGACGCUGAGGUGCGAAGGCGUGGGGAGCAAACAGGAUUAGAUACCCCUGUAGUC
rnacentral:rRNA from 1 species